UUGAACGCUGGCGGCAGGCCUAACACAUGCAAGUCGAACGGUAACAGGAAGCAGCUUGCUGCUUUGCUGACGAGUGGCGGACGGGUGAGUAAUGUCUGGGAAACUGCCUGAUGGAGGGGGAUAACUACUGGAAACGGUAGCUAAUACCGCAUAACGUCGCAAGACCAAAGAGGGGGACCUUAGGGCCUCUUGCCAUCGGAUGUGCCCAGAUGGGAUUAGCUAGUAGGUGGGGUAACGGCUCACCUAGGCGACGAUCCCUAGCUGGUCUGAGAGGAUGACCAGCCACACUGGAACUGAGACACGGUCCAGACUCCUACGGGAGGCAGCAGUGGGGAAUAUUGCACAAUGGGCGCAAGCCUGAUGCAGCCAUGCCGCGUGUAUGAAGAAGGCCUUCGGGUUGUAAAGUACUUUCAGCGGGGAGGAAGGGAGUAAAGUUAAUACCUUUGCUCAUUGACGUUACCCGCAGAAGAAGCACCGGCUGACUCCGUGCCAGCAGCCGCGGUAAUACGGAGGGUGCAAGCGUUAAUCGGAAUUACUGGGCGUAAAGCGCACGCAGGCGGUUUGUUAAGUCAGAUGUGAAAUCCCCGGGCUCAACCUGGGAACUGCAUCUGAUACUGGCAAGCUUGAGUCUCGUAGAGGGGGGUAGAAUUCCAGGUGUAGCGGUGAAAUGCGUAGAGAUCUGGAGGAAUACCGGUGGCGAAGGCGGCCCCCUGGACGAAGACUGACGCUCAGGUGCGAAAGCGUGGGGAGCAAACAGGAUUAGAUACCCUGGUAGUCCACGCCGUAAACGAUGUCGACUUGGAGGUUGUGCCCUUGAGGCGUGGCUUCCGGAGCUAACGCGUUAAGUCGACCGCCUGGGGAGUACGGCCGCAAGGUUAAAACUCAAAUGAAUUGACGGGGGCCCGCACAAGCGGUGGAGCAUGUGGUUUAAUUCGAUGCAACGCGAAGAACCUUACCUGGUCUUGACAUCCACGGAAGUUUUCAGAGAUGAGAAUGUGCCUUCGGGAACCGUGAGACAGGUGCUGCAUGGCUGUCGUCAGCUCGUGUUGUGAAAUGUUGGGUUAAGUCCCGCAACGAGCGCAACCCUUAUCCUUUGUUGCCAGCGGUCCGGCCGGGAACUCAAAGGAGACUGCCAGUGAUAAACUGGAGGAAGGUGGGGAUGACGUCAAGUCAUCAUGGCCCUUACGACCAGGGCUACACACGUGCUACAAUGGCGCAUACAAAGAGAAGCGACCUCGCGAGAGCAAGCGGACCUCAUAAAGUGCGUCGUAGUCCGGAUUGGAGUCUGCAACUCGACUCCAUGAAGUCGGAAUCGCUAGUAAUCGUGGAUCAGAAUGCCACGGUGAAUACGUUCCCGGGCCUUGUACACACCGCCCGUCACACCAUGGGAGUGGGUUGCAAAAGAAGUAGGUAGCUUAACCUUCGGGAGGGCGCUUACCACUUUGUGAUUCAUGACUGGGGUG
rnacentral:rRNA from 1 species